AGAUUGAACGCUGGCGGCAUGCUUUACACAUGCAAGUCGAACGGUAACAGGCCGCAAGGUGCUGACGAGUGGCGAACGGGUGAGUAAUGCAUCGGAACGUGCCCAGUCGUGGGGGAUAACGCAGCGAAAGCUGUGCUAAUACCGCAUACGAUCUAUGGAUGAAAGCGGGGGACCGAAAGGCCUCGCGCGAUUGGAGCGGCCGAUGUCAGAUUAGCUAGUUGGUGGGUAAAGGCCCACCAAGGCGACGAUCUGUAGCUGGUCUGAGAGGACGACCAGCCACACUGGAACUGAGACACGGUCAGACUCCGUACGGGACGCAGCAGGUAGGGUAAUUUUGGAACAAGUGGGCG
rnacentral:rRNA from 1 species